rnacentral:sRNA from 1 species
GCCGGGUACGGUGGCUCGCGCCUAUAAUCCCAGCAGCUGGGGAGGCUGAGGCAGGAGGAUUGUGAGUUCCAAGCCAGCCUCAGCAAAAGGGAGGCGCUAAGCAACUCAGCGAGACCCUGUCUCUA